UAGGGAAUCUUCCGCAAUGGGCGAAAGCCUGACGGAGCAACGCCGCGUGAGUGAUGAAGGUCUUCGGAUCGUAAAACUCUGUUAUUAGGGAAGAACAAAUGUGUAAGUAACUAUGCACGUCUUGACGGUACCUAAUCAGAAAGCCACGGCUAACUACGUGCCAGCAGCCGCGGUAAUACGUAGGUGGCAAGCGUUAUCCGGAAUUAUUUGGCGUAAAGCGCGCGUAGGCGGUUUUUUAAGUCUGAUGUGAAAGCCCACGGCUCAACCGUGGAGGGUCAUUGGAAACUGGAAAACUUGAGUGCAGAAGAGGAAAGUGGAAUUCCAUGUGUAGCGGUGAGAUGCGCAGAGAUAUGGAGGAACACCAGUGGCGAAGGCGACUUUCUGGUCUGUAACUGACGCUGAUGUGCGAAAGCGUGGGGAUCAAACAGG
rnacentral:rRNA from 1 species